UACGUAGGGUGCAAGCGUUGUCCGGAAUUAUUGGGCGUAAAGAGCUCGUAGGCGGUUUGUUGCGUCGGCUGUGAAAUCCCGAGGCUCAACCUCGGGUCUGCAGUCGAUACGAGCAAACUAGAGUGUUGCAGGGGAGACUGGAAUUCCUGGUGUAGCGGUGAAAUGCGCAGAUAUCAGGAGGAACACCAAUGGCGAAGGCAGCACUCUGGGACGUGACUGACGCUGAGACGCGAAAGCGUGGGGGGCAAACAGG
rnacentral:rRNA from 1 species